UACAGAGGGUGCAAGCGUUGUUCGGAAUCAUUGGGCGUAAAGGGCGCGUAGGCGGUUUUAUAAGUCGGGUGUGAAAUCCCAGGGCUCAACCCUGGAAGUGCAUCCGAAACUGUAAGACUAGAGUAUCGAAGAGGGUGGUGGAAUUCCCAGUGUAGAGGUGAAAUUCGUAGAUAUUGGGAGGAACAUCAGUGGCGAAGGCGGCCACCUGGUCGAUAACUGACGCUGAGGCGCGAAAGCGUGGGUAGCAAACAGG
rnacentral:rRNA from 1 species